rnacentral:rRNA from 1 species
UACGUAGGGCGCAAGCGUUGUCCGGAAUUAUUGGGCGUAAAGAGCUCGUAGGCGGUCUGUCGCGUCUGCCGUGAAAACCCGAGGCUUAACCCUGGACCUGCAGUGGGUACGGGCAGACUAGAGUGCGGUAGGGGAGAUCGGAAUUCCUGGUGUAGCGGUGAAAUGCGCAGAUAUCAGGAGGAACACCGGUGGCGAAGGCGGGUCUCUGGGCCGAUACUGACGCUGAGGAGCGAAAGCGUGGGGAGCGAACAGG